UGGGGAAUAUUGCACAAUGGGCGCAAGCCUGAUGCAGCAACGCCGCGUGAACGAUGAAGGUCUUCGGAUCGUAAAGUUCUGUUGCAGGGGAAGAUAAUGACGGUACCCGGAGAGGAAGCCCCGGCUAACUACGUGCCAGCAGCCGCGGUAAUACGUAGGGGGCUAGCGUUAUCCGGAUUUACUGGGCGUAAAGGGUGCGUAGGUGGUCUUUCAAGUCGGUGGUUAAAGGCUACGGCUCAACCGUAGUUAGCCUCCGAAACUGGAAGACUUGAGUGCAGGAGAGGAAAGUGGAAUUCCCGGUGUAGCGGUGAAAUGCGUAGAUAUUGGGAGGAACACCAGUAGCGAAGGCGGCUUUCUGGACUGCAACUGACACUGAGGCACGAAAGCGUGGGUAGCAAACAGG
rnacentral:rRNA from 1 species